CCCCCAAUCCUAGCAAAGAAGGAUUAUAACAGUGACCUGGCCAUGCUCAAGGUGUGCUACGGAGAGGUGAGAAACAUAAUCGCUUGGAAGAAAACCAAUGCCACAAAACACAAAAACAGUGGGUCUAUGAGCGGUGACCAGGGG